UACGUAGGGUGCAAGCGUUGUCCGGAAUUAUUGGGCGUAAAGAGCUCGUAGGCGGUUUGUCGCGUCUGCUGUGAAAAUCCAGGGCUUAACCCUGGACCUGCAGUGGGUACGGGCAGACUAGAGUGCGGUAGGGGAGAUCGGAAUUCCUGGUGUAGCGGUGAAAUGCGCAGAUAUCAGGAGGAACACCGGUGGCGAAGGCGGCACUCUGGGCCGGUACUGACGCUGAGGAGCGAAAGCGUGGGGAGCAAACAGG
rnacentral:rRNA from 1 species